rnacentral:rRNA from 1 species
UACAGAGGUCCCAAGCGUUGUUCGGAUUCACUGGGCGUAAAGGGUGCGUAGGUGGUUUGUUAAGUUGGAUGUGAAAGCCCCGGGCUCAACCUGGGAACUGCAUCCAAAACUGGCAAGCUAGAGUAGGGCAGAGGGUGGUGGAAUUUCCUGUGUAGCGGUGAAAUGCGUAGAUAUAGGAAGGAACACCAGUGGCGAAGGCGACCACCUGGGCUCAUACUGACACUGAGGUGCGAAAGCGUGGGGAGCAAACAGG